UACGUAGGGUGCAAGCGUUGUCCGGAAUUAUUGGGCGUAAAGAGCUCGUAGGCGGUUUGUCGCGUCUGCUGUGAAAACUCGGGGCUUAACUCCGGCCUGCAGUGGGUACGGGCAGACUAGAGUGCGGUAGGGGAGACUGGAAUUCCUGGUGUAGCGGUGAAAUGCGCAGAUAUCAGGAGGAACACCGGUGGCGAAGGCGGGUCUCUGGGCCGUAACUGACGCUGAGGAGCGAAAGCGUGGGGGAGCGA
rnacentral:rRNA from 1 species